rnacentral:rRNA from 1 species
GACGAACGCUGGCGGCGUGCUUAACACAUGCAAGUCGAACGGAAAGGCCCUGCUUUUGUUGGGUUCUCGAUUGGCGAACGGGGGAGUAACACGUGAGUAUCCUGCCCUUGUCUUUGUGGUAUCUUCAGGAAACUGGGGCUAUAACCGCGUAUAAUCUCCUGCUCCGUGUGGGGGGUUGGAAAGUUUCGGCGGUUGGGGAUGGACUCGCGGCUUACCAGCUGGUUUGUGGGGUAGUGGCGUACGAAGGUUUUGACGGGUAGCCGGCCUGGGAGGGUUACCGGCCACAUUGGGACUGAGAUAGGGCCCAGACUCCUACGGGAGGCAGCAGUGGGGAAUAUUGCACAAUGGGGGGAAGCCUGAUGCAGCAACGCCGCGUGCGGGAUGACGGCCUUCGGGUUGUAAACCGCUUUCGCCUGUGACGAAGCGUGAGUGACGGUAAUGGGUAAAGAAGCACCGGCUAACUACGUG